rnacentral:rRNA from 1 species
GACGAACGCUGGCGGCGUGCUUAACACAUGCAAGUCGAACGGAAAGGCCUCUUUCGGGGGGUACUCGAGUGGCGAACGGGUGAGUAACACGUGAGUAACCUGCCCUUGACUUUGGGAUAACUUCAGGAAACUGGGGCUAAUACCGGAUAGGAGCUCCUGCUGCAUGGUGGGGGUUGGAAAGUUUCGGCGGUUGGGGAUGGACUCGUGGCCUAUCAGCUUGUUGGUGGGGUAGUGGCUUACCAAGGCUUUGACGGGUAGCCGGCCUGAGAGGGUGACCGGCCACAUUGGGACUGAGAUACGGCCCAGACUCCUACGGGAGGCAGCAGUGGGGAAUAUUGCACAAUGGGUGGAAGCCUGAUGCAGCAACGCCGUGUGCGGGAGGACGGCCUUCGGGUUGUAAACCGCUUUCGCUCAUGACGAAGCUUUGUGUGACGGUAGUGGGUAAAGAAGCACCGGCUAACUACGUG